UGGGGAAUAUUGCACAAUGGGCGCAAGCCUGAUGCAGCCAUGCCGCAUGUGUGAAGAAGGCCUUCGGGUUGUAAAGCACUUUCAGCGAGGAGGAAGGUGGUGAGCUUAAUACGCUCAUCAAUUGACGUUACUCGCAGAAGAAGCACCGGCUAACUCCGUGCCAGCAGCCGCGGUAAUACGGAGGGUGCAAGCGUUAAUCGGAAUUACUGGGCGUAAAGCGCACGCAGGCGGUUUGUUAAGUCAGAUGUGAAAUCCCCGGGCUCAACCUGGGAACUGCAUUUGAAACUGGCAAGCUAGAGUCUCGUAGAGGGGGGUAGAAUUCCAGGUGUAGCGGUGAAAUGCGUAGAGAUCUGGAGGAAUACCGGUGGCGAAGGCGGCCCCCUGGACGAAGACUGACGCUCAGGUGCGAAGGCGUGGGGCAGCAAACAGGAUUAGAUACCCUGGUAGUCCACGCUGUAAACGAUGUCGAUUUUGGAGGUUGUGCCCCUUGAGGCGUGGCUUCCGGAGCUAACGCGUUAAAUCGACCGCCUGGGGAGUACGGCCGCAAGGUUAAAACUCAAAGG
rnacentral:rRNA from 1 species